rnacentral:rRNA from 1 species
UACGAGUGCCUCAAGCGUUAUCCGGAAUCAUUGGGCGUAAAGGUUGUGUAGGUGGUUAUAUUAGUCUUCUGUUAAAUUCUUCGGCUUAACCGGGGGCAUGCAGAGGAAACGGUAUAACUAGAGGAUGCGAGGGGUCUGCGGAACUCAUAGUGUAGCGGUGAAAUGCGUUGAUAUUAUGGGGAACACCAAAAGCGAAGGCAGCAGACUGGAGCGCUCCUGACACUGAAACAAGAAAGCGUGGGUCGCGAAUGGG